UGUUUUUUGUAUGGUGUUCUUUAAUUUGAUUAUUAUGAAGAUGAAAGAGAACCGUUAGAACGGGUAUGAAGGGUGUUCUAGGGGUGCUUUUCGGUGCUCUUUCACGUGGACAUAUCGCAGCAUGCGACAUGUCAGCGGAACACUGUCUAAAUUAAUAAAUACUGUUUUGGCCGAUUUCUAAAAGCGUCUAUAAAAGGGCAUAAGUGCAAUGACUCGUCUUUGUAACCCUGCGGCCUAGGCGUAGUUUUUCACGGGGAAUCCGAAUAUCAAAGGUAGAUUUAUGUACAACAUGUACUUUUUUUGCAACAUGUACUUUUUAUCUACGGGACAUAGACAUAUGUAAAAACACACGGCGGAGCCGUUCCCGCAGUCAGAAUUUGUCUAACUCUUCUAGAUCAAAAGUUAUUCAGCGAAAUGUGAGACUUUGUUUGGCAUGCUCUUUUUUUUAGGUGGUUUUUUCCCGGUUUUAUGUGCCGCCCGGCAGAUCUGGCCUGCAGACUUUAGCAGAAAACUUGGCGCAUGUGUUCGCACGACCGCUCCCAAAGUUUUUACAAGCAUAUCUCCAGUAGUUGCUUCGCAAUGAUUUUUUUAGUGACGCCAAAAAACGCCAUUUUCGCGGAAAAUGGACACCUUGGACGGCCAAAAUCACCACUUUUGGCCAUGUUUGGCCCUGCACAUCCAGGAAGCAAAUGAGACUGCUCCGUAUAAAAACUGCCCUAGGGGUGCUUUUAUGCGCGCAUUCCCGUGGUCAAGUCAGAUUUUGGCUAAAUUCAAAUGCCUUGUCUAUAAACACUUUUUUCGACCUAAAUUUUCACCUGUUUUGUCCCGAAAUGAUAGCACCCAUUCUUUAUUUGCCUAUAUAUCGCGAAGGAGGCAACUUUUUUCCUGUUAAGUAUAGAUAAAAAAUUUAAUUCGGCGUUUUAGCGCACGAGGAACAAAAGUCUCCAUACAAGCUACCCUCGGUUUCUAAUGACUUUUUGAGUUAGGGAAGCGUGGAUCUUCUUUUUUUCUUGUUUCCAGGACUUCACAUGAACUUCCAACUCAACUCGAAUUGUCAUCCCGGGCCCACCACGCAUCGAAACGACACUUUUCUCGGAACUGGCGAAUAAAAAAUAGGUCACCAGAUGCGCAAGAGUCUGGGAUGACAGAAUAUCAAAACAAUAACAGAAUCGUUAGUACUUUUUUUGUCACCAGCGCCCUUUUUCUGUUUUCGCGUACAUAAUCGAGCAUAACUUUAUCAAUUUAUACCAUAUCGACCGAUAUCGAUUGUCACGAUAGUGUACUUUUUUUAGGCGCACAUGAUGGUAAAAAGAACGGCCACCUAUUCCCAGCCGUUCUUAAGCUAUGCUCUUUUAAAGAUUUUACUUUAGAGAUGACACACCCUCUCAUUUCACUCCAUUACAUGCUCUUUUUGCUGAAUUACGUGGCACAGACGCAGAAAAUCAUGGUUCGCAAGUCGAACAUUUUUGAAGAGCGCAUCGAAACGGACAUUUUCUUAAAAUAACAUGGUAUACAAAAAGUGCGUUCUUGAGCCUGUAGCAAACGAUUUGCAUCCAUGACAUCCCAAAAACUUAAAAUAACAUAUCUCGACUCCUAGAAUGAAAUCGACGUGAAUCCUUAGGGCAGUUAGUGUGUUUUAGUAUCAUACUUAACACCACAAAGUUUUACGGGGCACUCUACAAUACUCUUCCCAAGACGCAAGAAAAUGUUCAUUUNNNNNNNNNNNNNNNNNNNNNNNNNNNNNNNNNNNNNNNNNNNNNNNNNNNNNNNNNNNNNNNNNNNNNNNNNNNNNNNNNNNNNNNNNNNNNNNNNNNNGUUGACACCGGCUCAGAACUGGAGCGGACAAGGGGAAUCCGACUGUUUAAUUAAAACAAAGCAUUGUGAUGGCCGGAGACGGUGUUGACACAAUGUGAUUUCUGCCCAGUGCUCUGAAUGUCAAAGUGAAGAGAUUCAACCAAGCGCGGGUAAACGGCGGGAGUAACUAUGACUCUCUUAAGGUAGCCAAAUGCCUCGUCAUCUAACUAGUGACGCGCAUGAAUGGAUUAAUGAGAUUCCCACUGUCCCUAUCUACUGUCUAGCGAACCCACAGCCAAGGGAACGGGCUUGGAAUAAUCAGCGGGGAAAGAAGACCCUGUUGAGCUUGACUCUAGUCUGACGUUGUGAAAUGACUUGGGAGGUGUAGAAUAAGUGGGAGGCUCUGCCGUCUGUGAAAUACCACUACUCUCAAUGUUGUUUUACUUAUACCAUGAUGUAGCAUCUGUGUGGCCUCGCGGUCGCUCAGUUCUAGUUGUAAACUUGGGCUUUUGCCUGGGUGAGCUACCUGGAAGACAUCGUCAGGUGGGGAGUUUGGCUGGGGCGGCACAUCUGUUAAAUGAUAACACAGGUGUCCUAAGGUGAGCUCAAUGAGAACAGAAAUCUCAUGUAGAACAAAAGGGUAAAAGCUCACUUGAUUUUGAUUUUCAGUAUGAAUACAAACCGUGAAAGCGUGGCCUAUCGAUCCUUUAGUUCUUUUGAAUUUUAAGCUAGAGGUGUCAGAAAAGUUACCACAGGGAUAACUGGCUUGUGGCAGCCAAGCGUCCAUAGCGACGUUGCUUUUUGAUUCUUCGAUGUCGGCUCUUCCUAUCAUUGCGAAGUAGAACUCGCCAAUUGUUGGAUUGUUCACCCACUAAUAGGGAACGUGAGCUGGGUUUAGACCGUCGUGAGACAGUUUGGUAUAUACACCCCCUGAGAAUCAGUGGGGUGUCGAAGUGGAGAGGGAGGCCGCCCAUCAGGAUCUAGUUACGUUGAACCGACUAGAUGAGGUGGUGGUGGUUGGAUCCGCGAAAAGGACAGUCCAGGUAAUGGCUGUCACUAGGUCCAGAGGAAGGAUUGAAUCUAGCCCCCAGUUGCUCGAUGAAACAUUUGUGAAGGGAGUCCGCAUUGAGCGGAUCCUCAAAGCACAGAACGAAGAAGCGUGGAUCUUGA
rnacentral:rRNA from 1 species